GUGCAAACUGUCGCGUGUUUUUCUGUGAUAGUUUCGUGAUGAGUGAAACGAAAAGAAAAAAAAAAAAGCGAAGUGUGUGCUAAGAAGACGUAGCGUGGUUGGACAAACUCUUGAAAAACAACAACAACAACAACAACAACAACAACAACAGCAGCAGCAGCAGCAGCAGCAGCAGCAUCACUCAACAACAAGAACACCAAUAACGACAACAACAGCAACCACGAGAAAGACAAGAGUCGCAGUGCGUCUCAAGAUCAGCCAAGCUUCAUCUCGCUGUCUGUCGUCACCGUGCUUCAUGGCUACGCUCUGCGCCCUUCUACUACCUUCACUCUUCCUCAUCUCUUGUCUGCUGUCUUCUGCAGCACAACUUCAUGUACUCCCGCUCCAUCUCAGCGAUAAUACCUAUUUCUGAGGUCUUUCUUCAACUCCUGAAGUAUUGUGCACCACUCGCGGUCUCCAUGCCCGUGUCGGACGUGUUUCUCAGCUCCCCGGGAAGUGUGGGACAGUCGCCGUCUGCUGGUGUCUUAGAAAUGCAUUGUCUCUACACGCAAAAGACGUGUGGCAGUGUAUUACCUUUAAGCCUUAACAUGUAAUUGUCUUUGUACUUGUCCAAGUUUUUUUUUAUACUGUAUUGCUAAUGCGUCCCGCUCCAUCCACCAUGUUGUGUGCGGUAUGUAGCUACAGCUGAAUACUGAUGUGAAGUACCAACGAGUGUCACCAAUUGUGUCAUUAAUGCAUUACUUUGGUAAUUGUGUAAUCGACAAAUUGAUGAAAAAACCUUGUCAAUAAAUGGCA